GGCCAGCAGUCGUGUCUAGUGUUGGGUUCAAUGACCUCUUUAUUUACCAAUUUUGAAUACUUCUUCAUUAUCAGAAUUCAAACUGCUUGACAAUUAAUUUGGAAUUUUCAAAGGGAAUCGUCGGUACGAAGGUUUGAAUGAGAGUGCAAUUUGACCAUGCGUUUCCCAUUGGAUGGAAGAUUUGCCAGAGUGUCGUUAACUAUAGAGACAGACAUUGCUUCA